AAUAUUUUAACUUAAUUUCUUGGUGACUAAGCUCCAAAAGCCAUAACCCCCUCCCCCAAAAUGACACCACCAGCUUCAUUUCUCCUUUUUCCUUGGUCUAGAACUCUUGAGAAAAAAUCUAGAAACUCUAUGGAUCCUCCAAGCUUCAAGGUUCGAUUCUUGAGCUCUAAAACUCCUACAAAAAAUCUAAACCGAUUAAAGUAUUCUUCUCAUCUUUCUCUUCACUGUCAUACCAGAUUUUAUAAGGAAAUCAUAUCUAGAAGCCUUAUGGAGCAAAAAACAAUCAAUUUCAGUUUGAAAAAGACCUUACUAAGAACCCCAAGUUCUUACCCCAACUCUUUCUUACAAAUGGAGACAGGAGUUCUUUUCCUUAAGCUACUGGAGGUGCAGAGGACAAUGUUCGCCUUUUGAUAACAUGCAGCUUGGUCUGAGUUUUGAAGACCUAGAAUAUAUUUUCUCUCGCUUUUGAAGUCUAGAGAGAUUAAGUGAGUAUAAAGUCUAGGCCAGCUUGGGUACCAACUUAAGGACUUCUUGAACAUGUUAGGGCCUAAGAUGUUAUAUAUAUGUGUGUGUAUAUAUUUAUUAUCUAGCUACUUCUUGGAGUGUCUUAAUUGAGAUCUAAACACUGCUAACGGCUGGAUGACCGAGUACUAUUAACUCACACGAGAUGUAUAUAUAUGUGUGUGGUUGCUUAUAA